rnacentral:rRNA from 1 species
UUACAAGCUGUGGAAGCACAUUUCUUGUGUGACCGCGUACUUUUUGUAGAACGGGCCAACGAGUUACGUUAAGUAGCAAGGUUAAGCACUUAAGGUGCGGGGCCGUAGCGAAAGCGAGUUUUAACUGGGCGUUCAGUUACUUGACGUAGACCCGAAACCGGGCGACCUACCCAUGAGCAGGAUGAAGCGAAAGUAAAAUUUCGUGGAGGUCCGAACCCACGAGCGUUG